GCUAAUACCGUAUAACAAUGACAACCGCAUGGUUGUUAUUUAAAAGAUGGUUCUGCUAUCACUAAGAGAUGGUCCCGCGGUGCAUUAGCUAGUUGGUAAGGUAAUGGCUUACCAAGGCGAUGAUGCAUAGCCGAGUUGAGAGACUGAUCGGCCACAAUGGGACUGAGACACGGCCCAUACUCCUACGGGAGGCAGCAGUAGGGAAUCUUCCACAAUGGGCGAAAGCCUGAUGGAGCAACGCCGCGUGUGUGAUGAAGGGUUUCGGCUCGUAAAACACUGUUGUAAGAGAAGAAUGACAUUGAGAGUAACUGUUCAAUGUGUGACGGUAUCUUACCAGAAAGGAACGGCUAAAUACGUGCCAGCAGCCGCGGUAAUACGUAUGUUCCAAGCGUUAUCCGGAUUUAUUGGGCGUAAAGCGAGCGCAGACGGUUAUUUAAGUCUGAAGUGAAAGCCCUCAGCUCAACUGAGGAAUUGCUUUGGAAACUGGAUGACUUGAGUGCAGUA
rnacentral:rRNA from 1 species